rnacentral:rRNA from 1 species
UGAGGAAUAUUGGUCAAUGGGCGCAAGCCUGAACCAGCCAUCCCGCGUGCAGGAAGACGGCCCUAUGGGUUGUAAACUGCUUUUCCAGGGGGAGAAUUUUUCUGUCGUGACAGGAAUUGACGGUACCCUGGGAAUAAGCAUCGGCUAACUCCGUGCCAGCAGCCGCGGUAAUACGGAGGAUGCGAGCGUUAUCCGGAUUUAUUGGGUUUAAAGGGUGCGUAGGCGGAUAGAUAAGUCAGUGGUGAAAACCUGCAGCUUAACUGUAGACUUGCCGUUGAUACUGUCAGUCUUGAGUAUGGUCAAGGUAGGCGGAAUGUGUAAUGUAGCGGUGAAAUGCUUAGAUAUUACACAGAACGCCGAUUGCGAAGGCAGCUUACUAAUCCAUGACUGACGCUGAGGCACGAAAGCGUGGGGAUCAAACA